AUAUUAGGACAAUUAUAUAUAUAAAGUAGUACCGAGGGCUAAGGCCCGAAUACGUUAAACGGUUGUCCGUGUACGAUCCUCUGCGAGUUGUUUAUCUUCACAGCAGACGAGCGAAUGCGAGGAGUUUGGAGCAUUUUUAAAAUGGGCCAACUUUGUUUAUGCUU
rnacentral:sRNA from 12 species